rnacentral:tRNA from 1 species
GCCAAAAGGGCUGCAAUUGCAGGUUAUUUUGAUAUAAUAAUAUUUGAAGUUUUUACUUUCUUUGGUG